rnacentral:rRNA from 1 species
CCUACGGGCGGCAGCAGUGAGGAAUAUUGGUCAAUGGGCGGAAGCCUGAACCAGCCAAGUAGCGUGCAGGAUGACGGCCCUACGGGUUGUAAACUGCUUUUAUACGGGAAUAACGCGCCUUACGUGUAGGGUUUUGCAUGUACCGUAUGAAUAAGGACCGGCUAAUUCCGUGCCAGCAGCCGCGGUAAUACGGAAGGUCCGGGCGUUAUCCGGAUUUAUUGGGUUUAAAGGGAGCGUAGGCCGCAUGUCAAGCGUGCUGUGAAAUGGCCGGGCUCAACCCGGGCCGUGCAGCGCGAACUGGCGUGCUUGAGUGCGCGGAAAGCAGGCGGAAUUCGUGGUGUAGCGGUGAAAUGCUUAGAUAUGACGAAGAACCCCGAUUGCGAAGGCAGCUUGCUGCAGCGGAACUGACGCUGAUGCUUGAAAGCGCGGGUAUCGAACAGGAUUAGAUACCCCGGUAGUC